UACGUAGGGUGCAAGCGUUGUCCGGAAUUAUUGGGCGUAAAGAGCUCGUAGGUGGCCUGUCGCGUCGGCUGUGAAAACUCGGGGCUCAACUCCGAGCUUGCAGUCGAUACGGGCAGGCUAGAGUUCGGCAGGGGAGACUGGAAUUCCUGGUGUAGCGGUGAAACGCGCAGAUAUCAGGAGGAACACCGGUGGCGAAGGCGGGUCUCUGGGCCGAUACUGACACUGAGGAGCGAAGGCGUGGGGAGCGAACAGG
rnacentral:rRNA from 1 species